CUACAUGCUUGGUGCAGUGGGUCUCAUUUUUGUGAAUUCUGUUGCACUGGUUGUAGAACUGAUCCUAAAAGCACGAAAUGGCGAGCGUACAAUGGAUCUGCGAGUCAUUCUCAUACCCUCUGAAUGUGUCUUCGCUUUGUGCUGUUUUGCUCUCCAAAUAUCUGCAUUCUGGAGGACAUUCAGAGAAAAUUUUAUGGAUGACAUAGAGGGCUUACGUCGAUUGUGCACGUGUCCAGUGAACACAAUGAUACGCAAUUGUGAACUGCGGUCUCUGCAGUCUACAGAAGCUGAUCCUACUCCUGCUCCUGCUCCUGCUCCUCAGGAAUUGGGGUCUUAGGAGGUGUUGAGAAUUAAUGACACUUCUUGUAUCCGGAUCACCUACAUGAAGACAUGUUGGGGUUUGAGAUCCAUUUGAGAGACACAAAUGGAAUCUUACAGCAUGAAACUGGCAUUGAUUGUGAUUCAUGCCUCACGACAUGCUUUGCACCCAGUCUUCUAGCACACAUCCAUCUGAGGUCUCAUGAGUUUUGCCACCUGCAAGCAGACGUUUGCAAGAUGCCGUGACUUUCUUUUGUUUUUUGGGGCGUUUCACAAGGAAAUCGCAGUCUCAGACGUUACCUUUUCAACAGAAGUUAGUCUCCGGAUUAUAGUCUGAUUUCAGCUGUACCUGCCGACUGUAUAUGGACUGUAUUUCCCCUCUGCCUUGUGUGCAGAGAGGUAAAGACAUAAUUGGAAAGUAUGGAUUUAAACCAAAGAUCUUCUCUGCUCAGGUCAUCGUGGAUUUAAACCAAAGAUCUUCUCUGCUCAGGUCAUCAUGGAUUUAAACCAAAGAUCUUCUCUGCUCAGGCCAUCGUCAUUUUAAAGUGAUAUUUUUAAAACGUGUCUGUCAACUUCAACAUCCAGAAGCGAUCACAACACACUGUUAAGAAACAAAAUCUAGAUGCAUUGAUAGCAAAAUAUUGUAGAUGUGCUAAGAGCAAAAUUAAAGGGGACACGUCCCGUUGCCCCCCCCCCCUUAAAUUUAGUCCUGUGGACUUAUGGGACAGAACAGUUCCCCAGACAAACACCAAUAUAUUUUUGAAAUCUUUGUGUGAUAGUCUUGACUCCAGUGGAUUAAGCUCCCUGGGAGAAAGCAGUGCCCUCUGUGGGGAGCAAACGUGCAGACCUACGCCUUCUGCUGGUUGUGGUCAAAACAUUUUGAAUCACCAGUGGGUUUUGGUCUAGAAAUCACUUAAAGCUGAAAACUGUUUGUGAACGUCUUUUUGCGACCCUUGUGUCAUUUUGCACAGUAGCUAUGAAUUAGAGGUGGGCGAUAUGGAAAAAACUGUACAUCACGAUACUUAUAGAAAUUUGUACAGACUAAAUAUUGUCACAUUUAAUACAAAAUAGUCACAUUUAUAACUGCUAUCAAAACUAUGAAUACAGUGAAACUAUGAAUACAGUGAAAUUAGUCCAGUUUAAUUGGAUUUAAACUGGACUAAUUUAACUAAUUUCACUAAUUUCACUUAUGCUCUCCUUUGCAGGUGGUCAGUGCUCUUUAAGUACUGACAAUGUCUACAAUAGGCUCAGAAACUGUACUGUUUAUCAGAACAAAAAAUGAUCACGAUAACGAUUAAUGGUCAUCAUAUUGCCCACCCCUAUCAAUACAGUAACAAAACACACUGCUAAGCCACUGCACAGAUUAAAACGAUGUACAAAACCUGUGAAAUGAUGCUGGCGCCGCUCUGUAGGACGCGUGGUAGUGACGUCAUCAGUGCGGCAGACUGUAGUCUGUAAAAACUGUGUUUAUUUGUUUUUUAUUGUCGUUAAAUCAUUUGGAACAUUUGAAACAAAGCUUCAAAUACAAGGAAUAUGCAACUUUGUUUGUACAACCUUUAAAGUGAUUCACCCCCAGUCCAUCGUAAGCGUACAAUUUGAACAAAAUAAUUCAACGACUUCCUUUACCUGUUGCUUUGGAGCUCAAUCAGUCGACACUGAUAAGCAGUGCAGAGUAAAAAGAUGGAGAUGGAGAAGACUGCCAGACCCCUGUUCAUUCAGGACAUGAUUUCUGAAAUGUUGGAUGUAAUAGUCCAAAACAUCCAUCCAUAUCUAUGUCAAAACUAGCUCACUUACAGCUUGAAAAGCUGCUUGAUUUGUAAAAAAAGCUGAGUUACUGGGAAAUGUAGUUAAAGCAGUAGCUUCAAAGGAAGCACUUCAUUGGCCCUGACUGUAGCAUUAGCCACCAUGAUCUUCCACCAAGCUGAAGAUUUACACACCAAAUUAAGUAAUCAGGGGUAUUUAAUGAACAAGCUACUGAGUCAGAAGUGUAAACUGUGUUGUCAUCUCUCAUUUUAAUGAAUGUGAUGAAGGUAUACAGUAAUGUGAUUAGAGUUAUUUCAUCCAAUCACAUGGAAACAACACCUAAAAGAGUAGCUUCCACAGAUAGACAUAUGUUGAGAUUACAAAAGAUUUCAUUCUUUUGGAUGAGUUUUACUGUCCAUACUGUACAAAACCUUUUUGAGCAGGUAGCACUGGUGCUAGAAAAGUUACAAGUGUUACAAUAGCUAUUAGCAUUCUGCACAAACUUGAAGCAAUAAAAUGAAAAUGUAUUGUG